rfam:Nomascus leucogenys chromosome 22a, whole genome shotgun sequence.
ACUUUUAAAUAAUAGAAGUAAUACAUUGGCCUUAAAAGCCAAAAAAAUUGGUGCAGCUCCAAAUAAAAGUA